rnacentral:rRNA from 1 species
UUGACCUCGGAUCAGGUAGGAAUACCCGCUGAACUUAAGCAUAUCAAUAAGCGGAGGAAAAGAAACCAACAGGGAUUGCCUCAGUAACGGCGAGUGAAGCGGCAACAGCUCAAAUUUGAAAUCUCCUUCGGGCGAGUUGUAAUUUGCAGAGGAUGCUUCGGGCGCGGCGCCUUCCAAGUCCCCUGGAACGGGGCGCCUUAGAGGGUGAGAGCCCCGUACGGUUGGACGCCAAGCCUGUGUGAAGCUCCUUCGACGAGUCGAGUAGUUUGGGAAUGCUGCUCAAAAUGGGAGGUAGACCCCUUCUAAAGCUAAAUACCGGCCAGAGACCGAUAGCGCACAAGUAGAGUGAUCGAAAGAUGAAAAGCACUUUGAAAAGAGGGUUAAAUAGCACGUGAAAUUGUUGAAAGGGAAGCGCUUGUGACCAGACUUGCGCCGGGGCGAUCAUCUAGCGUUCUCGCUGGUGCACUCGCCCCGGUUCAGGCCAGCGUCGAUUCGGAGGGGGGGACAAAGACGCCGGGAACGUGGCUCCUCGGAGUGUUAUAGCCCGGCGUGCAAUGCCCCCGUCUGGAUCGAGGUUCGCGCUCUGCAAGGACGCUGGCAUAAUGGUCAUCAGCGACCCGUCUUGAAACACGGACCAAGGAGUCGAGGUUCUGCGCGAGUGUUUGGGUGUCAAACCCGCACGCGUAAUGAAAGUGAACGUAGGUGAGAGCUUCGGCGCACCACCGACCGAUCCUGAUGUUCUCGGAUGGAUUUGAGUAAGAGCGUUGGGCCUCGGACCCGAAAGAUGGUGAACUAUGCUUGGAUAGGGUGAAGCCAGAGGAAACUCUGGUGGAGGCUCGCAGCGGUUCUGACGUGCAAAUCGAUCGUCAAAUCUGAGCAUGGGGGCGAAAGACUAAUCGAACCAUCUAGUAGCUGGUUACCGCCGAAGUUUCCCUCAGGAUAGCAGUGUUGUCUUCAGUUUUAUGAGGUAAAGCGAAUGAUUAGGGACUCGGGGGCGCUAUAUUGCCUUCAUCCAUUCUCAAACUUUAAAUAUGUAAGAAGCCCUUGUUGCUUAAUUGAACGUGGGCAUUCGAAUGCAUCAACACUAGUGGGCCAUUUUUGGUAAGCAGAACUGGCGAUGUGGGAUGAACCAUACGCGAGGUUAAGGUGCCGGAGUGGACGCUCAUCAGACACCA